GCUGGGUGUGGUGGUGGGCGCCUGUAAUCCCAGCUACUCGGGAGGCUGAGGCAGGAGAAUCGCUUCAACCCAGGAGGCGGAGGUUGCAGUGAGCCGAGAUUGUGUCAUUGUACUCCAGUCUGGGUGACAGAGUGGGACACUGUCUNNNNNNNNNNUCUUUUUUUUCUUUCUUUUGAGAUGGAGUUUCGCCCUUGUUGCCCAGGCUGGAGUACAAUGGCGCGAUCUCGGCUCAUUGCAACCUCCACCUCCCAGGUUCAAGUGAUUCUCCUGCCUCAG
rnacentral:SRP_RNA from 1 species